UUCAGGGGCAGGUAAUUGAGGGGCAUGUCAUUCAGGGGCAUGUAAUUUAGGGGCAGGUAAUUCACGGGCAUGUAAUUCAGGGACUCAGGGGCAGAUAAUUCAGGGGCAUGUAAUUCAGGGGCAUGUAAUUGAGGGGAAGGUAAUCCAGGUGCAGGUGAUUUAGAGGAAUGUCAUUCAUUGGCAGGUAAUUCAGGGGCAUGUAAUUCAGAUGAAAGGUAAUUCAGGGGCAGGUAAUUUAUAGGAAUGUCAUUCAUGGGCAGGUAAUUCAGGGGCAGGUAUUUCAGGGGCAUGUCAUUCACGGGCAGGUAAUUUAGGGAUAGAUAAUUCAGAGGCAGGUCAUUGAGGUGCAUGUAAUUAAGAGGCAUGUAAUUGAGGGGCAUGUAAUUCAGGGGCAUGUAAUUCAUGGGUGGGUAAUUCAGAGGAAUGUAAUUCAGGGGUAAUUCAGGGAAGGUAAUUUAGAGGAUUGUCAUUCAGGGGCAGGUAAUUCAGGGUUAGGUAAUCCAGGGGCAUGUAAUUCAGGGGUAAUUCAGGGACAGGUAAUUUAGAGGAAUGUCCUUCAUGGGCAGGUUAUUCAGGAACAUGUAAUUCAGGGGCAGGUAAUUCAGGGGCUGGUAAUUUAGGGAUAGAUAAUUCAGAGGCAUGUCAUUCAGGGGCAGGUCAUUCAGGUGCAUGUAAUUAAGGGGCAGGUAAUUCAGGGCCAUGUAAUUCAGGGGAAGGUAAUUGAGGGUCAGGUUAUUCAGGUGUAGGUUAUUCAGGGGCAGGUAAUCCAGGGUUAAGUAAUUAAGGGGUAUGUAAUUCAGAGCAAGGUAAUUCAGUGGCAGGUAAUUGAGGGGCAUGUAGUUCAGGUGCAGUUAAUUCAGGGGUAUGUAAUUGAGGUGCAGGUAAUUCAGGGGCAUGUAAUUGAGGUGCAGGUAAUUAAGGGGCAUGUAAUUCAGGUGUAUGUAAUUGAGGUGCAUGUAAUUCAGGGGUAGGUAAUUAAGGGGCAGCUAAUUCAGGGGCAUGUAAUUCAGGGGUAAUUCAGGGAAGGUAAUUUAGAGGAUUGUCAUUCAGGGGCAGGUAAUUCAGGGUUAGGUAAUCCAGGGGAAGGUAAUCCAGGGGCAGGUAAUUCAGGGACAGGUAAUUUAGAGGAAUGUCAUUCAUGGGCAGGUAAUUCAGGGGUAGUAAUUCAGUGGCUUGUAAUUCAGAGAAAAUGUUAUUCAGGGGCAGGUAAUCUAGGUGCAGGUAAUUCAAGGGCAGGUCAUUCAGGUGCUUGUAAUUAAGAGGCAUCUAAUUGAGGGCCAUGUAAUUCAGAUGUUUGCAAUUCAGCGGCAGGUAAUUCAGAUGCAUGUAAUUUAGGGGCAAGUACUUCAGGGGUAUGUAAUUCAGGGGCAGGUAAUUCAGAUGUAUGUUAUUCAGGGGAAGGUAAUUCAGGGGCAGGUAAUCCAGGGGCAUGUAAUUCAGGGGAAGGUAAUUCAGGGGCAUGUAAUUCAUGGGCAGGUAAUUGAGGGGCAUGUCAUUCAGGGGCAUGUAAUUUAGGGGCAGGUAAUUCACGGGCAUGUAAUUCAGGUGUAUGUAAUUUAUGGGCAGCUAAUUCAGGGGUAUAUAAUUCAGGGGAAUGUCAUUCAGGGUCAGGUAAUUCGGGCAUGUAAUUCAUGUGCGGGUAAUUGAGGGGAAGGUAAUCCAGGUGCAGGUGAUUUAGAGUAAUGUCAUUCAUUGGCAGGUAAUUCAGGGGCUGGUAAUACAGAGCAUGUAAUUCAGGGGAAGGUA